CCUCUCUCUCUCUCUCUCUCUCUCUUAUCCUUUUCUCCGUUCCCCGCCCUCUAGCCAUUUCUUCCUCGCGCAUUCGGCCAGGCUGUUGGCGACGAGCCAGUCGGCGAUUAGAUGACCGUGUGCGAUGCCGGGGAGAGGAGGCGUAGGCGGCGGAGACGAGGAGCGGGAGGAGGCAUGCGGCGAUGCCGUGGAUCUUCGACGGUGGCGGACGGAGGUAGUACUCGGCGGCGAUGCUGGUGCGCAGCGGCGUGUUGACGGUGGCGGAGAUAGCCUCGCGCGCGCGGUGGUUGCCGUUCACCGUGGCCGAGGUGCUGGGUGGUGGAGAUUUGUGGGCUCGUCGUCCCCGCCGGCCGUCGCGCCGCCGCCGGUCGAAGAGGCCGCCUCCCGCAUGCCCUCCGCUUGAAGCCAUCGAUGCGUCUAGAGGAGCCAUCGAUGCAUGGAGCCAUCAGGCUGCCCGUCGAUGCGUGGAGCCAUCAGGCUACACGAGGAGCCAUCAGGCUGCCCGUUGCUGCGUCUAGAGGAGCAGAGGCGCUCUGCGGCUGCCACACGAGGAGCGUCAUGGAAGGGUCCGCGGUGGCCGAGCAUGGAGGAGCACCGGUGCGUCUACGUCGUCCUCGCUGUUUCCUGCUCCGUCGCCGCACAUGGAAGAGCACGCGUCAUCAGUCCUUCGUCGACCGGGAUGAAUCUUCGUUCCGACAUACGAAAUCUCGUUUUAGUAGAGGUCUUUUGCACUUGCACAUAAAGGCUCACAGUGCAUGCCAUGGCCUCCAACCGCCCAAUCUCCUGCAAAAUCGUAGUCUACCAGUGUAGGCCUUCAUCCAUAUUGUAUGGUCUAAAAAGGAAAUUUCUUGUGUUACACCACGCAUGUGAGAUCAAUAUUGAUGUUACAAACACUUGAUACUCAGGCAUCUGGGAGGUUCUGGAGUGCACCAAUAUUUUGUGGCC